AUUGAACGCUGGCGGCAUGCUUUACACAUGCAAGUCGAACGGUAACAGGCCUUCGGGUGCUGACGAGUGGCGAACGGGUGAGUAAUGCAUCGGAACGUACCCAGAGGUGGGGGAUAACGCAGCGAAAGCUGUGCUAAUACCGCAUGUGAUCUGAGGAUGAAAGCGGGGGACCGAGCAGCAAUGUUUGGCCUCGCGCCUUUGGAGCGGCCGAUGUCGGAUUAGCUAGUUGGUGGGGUAAAGGCCUACCAAGGCGACGAUCCGUAGCUGGUCUGAGAGGACGACCAGCCACAUUGGGGCUGAGACACGGACCAGACUCCUAAGGGAGGCAGCAGUGGGGAAUGUUGGACAGUGGGCGCAAGCCUGAUCCAGCAAUGCCGCGUGCGGGAAGAAGGCCUUCGGGUUGUAAACCGCUUUUGGGAGGAACGAAACGGUGUCCGCUAAUACCGGGCGCUAAUGACGGUACCUGCAGAAUAAGCACCGGCUAACUACGUG
rnacentral:rRNA from 1 species